rnacentral:misc_RNA from 1 species
UUAAGUUCAGCGGGUUUUCUUGCCCGAUUUCAGACCAAGGUUUACAGCCCCCGAAAGGAACUGUUUUAAUGGUUUUAAUUGCACGUUUCGUUCUCGUCUGACAUCUAAUCAAAAUGUUUGGAUUUUACUCUGUUGCACUUUGAUAGUUAUCCGACCAGGCGGAACCACACAAUAAUCAUUUUAAGGCUAUUCUUCCACAA